AUAUCCAAUGUAUUGCUCCAUACUUAUGUCCGUGUCCCGAGUUCGAUCCUCACAAUUUUUUUUUUGGUUCCCGCUUACCUCUGCUCAUCUUCGUGAUCGGCGUUCUCUUUUGCGUCCACCGGUUCCGCCAGCGACACAACCUUCCGCCACUGCCGCCGUUCUUCAGCCCUGCUCCUCCGCCAGCGCCGCUUGAAUCACUCCCCUUAUGUCGUUACCGAUUAACCAUAAAUACCAUAGCAGGCUUCAAUCGUUUUCUUCAAUUGAAGCUUCAAUCGCUCAUGUCAUCGUUUUGUUCAGUCAGUAGGCUCAGUCAAAGGUUCAAACCUGCUCAAUCGACGACUAACCAUGCUCAAUCACCGCCCAAACCUGCUCAAUUGAAAGCAAACUCAAAACAACUUAAAAUCGUUCUUCGAAUUCAAAUCACAAGUUCUCCAAGUCACAAAUGAAUUCAACAAAAAAUGAGCUAACAGAAAAAUAGCGAUUUCCAGAUUCAGGGUAAGGGAGGUACUUGUUACUUCAAGAGCGAGUAAAUGCCAGUCGUCGUCCGAGGGAGUAGUCGCCACCGGAGAAUCCACCACCGAUCAACGUCGUUUGUUCUCCGUGUGUCGAGACUCACAGGUAUGUUCUAAGUUUUCCUUAAAUCUAUUUUCAUGUUUUUUUUGUUAACAUGGUUUAUAAUAGGCAUUUGGUGUAGUUGCUUCCAUGAUCAGUUUAACUAAAAAUGGUGUUCAAACAUCUGUCGAGUCUUUCAUUAGUUAUACAUUAUAAGUGUGUUUCGAAUUAAGCAACUAUGUAUCAUAUCUUACCCUUCUAAAGGUGGUUGUAUUUUGGAGUAUUGGAAACACGUUGCUGCAUUUCAGCCUUGAGAGUGACCUAUGUGCUCCAAUCCAAUUAUCAAAUUGACCCUGGAAGCAACAUUAUCCCAACAACAGGAUGCAAGGAUCCAUGAUGUUCUCAAGAAUGUUAGGCAGUACAAUUGCCUUUUUGCUGGUGGUGCUUGCAGUUUCAUUCUGGUAGGUUACUUGACUGUUGGCACCAGACAUUGAAGGGGGUAGUUUCGUCUUUUCCCUAAGUUUUUUUUCUUCUUGAAGCAAUUCUGAAGAAAUCUGAUGAUUGUGACUUUCUUGUGACAGCAAGUGCUUUAGUUGCCUUUAUUUGUCAAGAGAUUGCUUCAAGCAAUGGUGGAUCCUGACAGACCUGUUGCUUAUCUUAGCAGAUUGCUUUAGUUGCAGUGUUUCUUGGUGCUCUUUAUACACUUAGCCCUUUUGACAUCCUCCCAUGAUGUUGGAGCCUGUGAUCAUCAGCUAUAUACAAUGAUCUUGAUUACAUUCGUUGUUACAAUUUUUCAUAUUUUUGGUGUAUUUUAUAUGGUAUUUGGGACAAAUUUGAAUUGAAUAUGGUAUUUAAUAAAAAAUUGGAAGUUUAUAA